AUCAUGGCUCAGGAUGAACGCUGGCGGCGUGCCUAAUACAUGCAAGUCGAACGAGUUCUCGUUGAUGAUCGGUGCUUGCACCGAGAUUCAACAUGGAACGAGUGGCGGACGGGUGAGUAACACGUGGGUAACCUGCCCUUAAGUGGGGGAUAACAUUUGGAAACAGAUGCUAAUACCGCAUAGAUCCAAGAACCGCAUGGUUCUUGGCUGAAAGAUGGCGUAAGCUAUCGCUUUUGGAUGGACCCGCGGCGUAUUAGCUAGUUGGUGAGGUAAUGGCUCACCAAGGCGAUGAUACGUAGCCGAACUGAGAGGUUGAUCGGCCACAUUGGGACUGAGACACGGCCCAAACUCCUACGGGAGGCAGCAGUAGGGAAUCUUCCACAAUGGACGCAAGUCUGAUGGAGCAACGCCGCGUGAGUGAAGAAGGCUUUCGGGUCGUAAAACUCUGUUGUUGGAGAAGAAUGGUCGGCAGAGUAACUGUUGUCGGCGUGACGGUAUCCAACCAGAAAGCCACGGCUAACUACGUGCCAGCAGCCGCGGUAAUACGUAGGUGGCAAGCGUUAUCCGGAUUUAUUGGGCGUAAAGCGAGCGCAGGCGGUUUUUUAAGUCUGAUGUGAAAGCCCUCGGCUUAACCGAGGAAGCGCAUCGGAAACUGGGAAACUUGAGUGCAGAAGAGGACAGUGGAACUCCAUGUGUAGCGGUGAAAUGCGUAGAUAUAUGGAAGAACACCAGUGGCGAAGGCGGCUGUCUGGUCUGUAACUGACGCUGAGGCUCGAAAGCAUGGGUAGCGAACAGGAUUAGAUACCCUGGUAGUC
rnacentral:rRNA from 1 species